GAAAAAGUAAGCUAAGCGAAGCUAAUGGGUUCAUACCUCAUCUAUAGAUUGUUGUCUCUUUUUUA
rnacentral:tRNA from 1 species